rnacentral:misc_RNA from 1 species
UUGGAUUUUCAGGUGGUGAAAGAGGCCAUUAAGAAGGUGGAAGAUGACAGGUUCAGGAAAGAUAUAUUUGAUGCUGUCUUCAAGACUAUUAGUUCUAAUGUGUCUGGGCAAGGAUUAUUGGACUCGUUGGCAUCCGAUAUCGAGGACUGUCGAAGUCUGGCAUAUUAAGGUGAAUCUUAUAUUUGCUUCAAGUUCUCUAGUUACAGGCAUCAGAUGAAACUUCUCG